rnacentral:rRNA from 1 species
GGGACACGUGGUAUCCUGUCUGAAUAUGGGGGGACCAUCCUCCAAGGCUAAAUACUCCUGACUGACCGAUAGUGAACCAGUACCGUGAGGGAAAGGCGAAAAGAACCCCGGCGAGGGGAGUGAAAAAGAACCUGAAACCGUGUACGUACAAGCAGUGGGAGCACGCUUAGGCGUGUGACUGCGUACCUUUUGUAUAAUGGGUCAGCGACUUAUAUUCUGUAGCAAGGUUAACCGAAUAGGGGAGCCGAAGGGAAACCGAGUCUUAACUGGGCGUUAAGUUGCAGGGUAUAGACCCGAAACCCGGUGAUCUAGCCAUGGGCAGGUUGAAGGUUGGGUAACACUAACUGGAGGACCGAACCGACUAAUGUUGAAAAAUUAGCGGAUGACUUGUGGCUGGGGGUGAAAGGCCAAUCAAACCGGGAGAUAGCUGGUUCUCCCCGAAAGCUAUUUAGGUAGCGCCUCGUGAAUUCAUCUCCGGGGGUAGAGCACUGUUUCGGCAAGGGGGUCAUCCCGACUUACCAACCCGAUGCAAACUGCGAAUACCGGAGAAUGUUAUCACGGGAGACACACGGCGGGUGCUAACGUCCGUCGUGAAGAGGGAAACAACCCAGACCGCCAGCUAAGGUCCCAAAGUCAUGGUUAAGUGGGAAACGAUGUGGGAAGGCCCAGACAGCCAGGAUGUUGGCUUAGAAGCAGCCAUCAUUUAAAGAAAGCGUAAUAGCUCACUGGUCGAGUCGGCCUGCGCGGAAGAUG